UACGUAGGGUGCGAGCGUUAAUCGGAAUUACUGGGCGUAAAGCGUGCGCAGGCGGUUUUGCAAGUCAGAUGUGAAAGCCCCGGGCUCAACCUGGGAACUGCGUUUGAAACUGCAAGGCUAGAGUAUGGGAGAGGGAGGUAGAAUUCCACGUGUAGCAGUGAAAUGCGUAGAGAUGUGGAGGAAUACCAAUGGCGAAGGCAGCCUCCUGGCCUAAUACUGACGCUCAUGCACGAAAGCGUGGGGAGCAAAC
rnacentral:rRNA from 1 species